UGUUUAUGAAGUUUAAUGAGGAUAUGAGGCAUGGAGUAGCUUUUUUUUUUCACUCAAUGUACUGAGACGAAAAAUACUGGAUCAAAAAAAAAGUACAGAAACUCGAACUGAAGUUGAAAGGUGCCAUGUCCUUGGUUGAAAGUGCAAUUUGACAAGGUGAGGGUGAAGGAGUUGAGGAUGGUGAUGGACCGAUGGUCUAAUGGACAAGGUUCUGAUGUAGCAUAGGCAUUUCACAGAUUAACUCACGGAUGCUGUAACAAAAGGUGCUCAAAAUAUGCACAAUCUCACAUCUGCUGCAGUUCUCAGAAGGACAACUCGUCAGACUCGGACGACAAGUCGGUGUCACGGCCGGAGAAGAGGUCCAUGCAGAGCUCACCGUAGAAGCGGCCGACGAGCUGGAC
rnacentral:lncRNA from 1 species